ensembl:lncRNA TEKT4P2 tektin 4 pseudogene 2
GCCAUUUUCCUCCGGAAGUGCGGAUCCCAGCGGCGGUCGUGUAGCUGAGCAGGCCUGGGGCUUGGUUCUAUGUCCCUGUAGCUAUGUUUCCAGUGUCCUCUGGGUGUUUCCAAGAGCAACAAGAAACGAAUAAAUCUCUGAUGCUGCGGGAAAUCACAGAUCAGGAACACAACGUGGUGGCACUGAAGGAGGCCAUCAAGGACAAGGAGGAACCUCUGCACAUAGCCCAGACCCGGCUGUAGUUGCUCUCACACCGGCCCAACAUGCAGCUGUGCCGCGAUGCAGCCCAGUUCAGCCCCAGCUCACACCCCCCAACACCCCCAAGCUGGUGAGUGAGGUGGAGGAGCUGUACAAGUCCAUCACAGCGCUGCGGGAGAAGCUUCUACAAGCGGAGCAGUCCCUGCGCAACCUCAAGGACAUCCACAUGAGCCUGGAGAAGGACGUCACUGCCAUGACCAACAGUCUCUUCAUCGACCGCCAGAAGUGCAUGGCCCAUCGUACUUGCUACCCCACCAUUCUGCAGCUGGCUGGCUACCAGUGAGCAGCGGCACGGUGCUUCCCCCCAAUCCCCCAAAUAAACAGUGCGUUAGCUUUC